rnacentral:rRNA from 1 species
GAUGAACGCUGGCGGCGUGCCUAAUACAUGCAAGUCGAGCGAACAGACGAGGAGCUUGCUCCUUCGACGUUAGCGGCGGACGGGUGAGUAACACGUAGGUAACCUACCUAUAAGACUGGGAUAACUUCGGGAAACCGGUGCUAAUACCGGAUAAUAUUUCGAACCGCAUGGUUCGAUAGUGAAAGAUGGCUUUGCUAUCACUUAUAGAUGGACCUGCGCCGUAUUAGCUAGUUGGUAGGGUAACGGCUUACCAAGGCAACGAUACGUAGCCGACCUGAGAGGGUGAUCGGCCACACUGGAACUGAGACACGGUCCAGACUCCUACGGGAGGCAGCAGUAGGGAAUCUUCCGCAAUGGGCGAAAGCCUGACGGAGCAACGCCGCGUGAGUGAUGAAGGUCUUCGGAUCGUAAAACUCUGUUAUUAGGGAAGAACAAACGUGUAAGUAACUGUGCACGUCUUGACGGUACCUAAUCAGAAAGCCACGGCUAACUACGUG